rnacentral:rRNA from 1 species
UGAACGUUGGCGGCGUGCCUAAUACAUGCAAGUCGGACGAGGAACCUGGUAUUUAUAUCGGGAUCUCCUAGUGGCGAACGGGUGAGUAACGCGUUGGUGACCUGCCCCAAAGAGAGGGACAACAGUUCGAAAGAAUUGCUAAUACCUCAUGUGGUCAUAAGGAUUAGAUGCCUAAUGAUUAAAGGAGUAAUCCGCUUUGGGAGGGACCUGCGUCCCAUCAGCUAGUUGGUAGGGUAAUGGCCUACCAAGGCUUCGACGGGUAGGGGACCUGAGAGGGUGGUCCCCCACAAUGGAACUGAAACACGGUCCAUACACCUACGGGUGGCAGCAGUAGGGAAUAUUGCCCAAUGGACGAAAGUCUGAGGCAGCAACGCCGCGUGUGCGAUGAAGGCCUUCGGGUUGUAAAGCACUUUUGCGUGGGAAGAGGAAGGACGGUACCACGAGAAUAAGGAUCGGCUAACUAC